GGGUGACCAGGGGCCAGGAGUGGGGGUAAGACGUAGGUGGUAGGGGGUGGCCGGAUUUAUUGGGGGUAAAGCGAGCGCAGGCGGUUUCUUAGGUCUGAUGUGAAAGCCUUCGGCUUAACCGGAGAAGUGCAUCGGAAACCAGGAGACUUGAGUGCAGAAGAGGACAGUGGAACUCCAUGUGUAGCGGUGAAAUGCGUAGAUAUAUGGAAGAACACCAGUGGCGAAGGCGGCUGUCUGGUCUGUAACUGACGCUGAGGCUCGAAAGCAUGGGUAGCGAACAGGAUUAGAUACCCGGGUAUC
rnacentral:rRNA from 1 species